UCAUUACCGAGUUUACAACUCCCAAACCCAAUGUGAACGUUACCAAACUGUUGCCUCGGCGGGACCUCUGCCCCGGGUGCGUCGCAGCCCCGGACCAAGGCGCCCGCCGGAGGACCAACCAAAACUCUUUUUGUAUACCCCCUCGCGGGUUUUUUUAUAAUCUGAGCCUUCUCGGCGCCUCUCGUAGGCGUUUCGAAAAUGAAUCAAAACUUUCAACAACGGAUCUCUUGGUUCUGGCAUCGAUGAAGAACGCAGCGAAAUGCGAUAAGUAAUGUGAAUUGCAGAAUUCAGUGAAUCAUCGAAUCUUUGAACGCACAUUGCGCCCGCCAGUAUUCUGGCGGGCAUGCCUGUCCGAGCGUCAUUUCAACCCUCGAACCCCUCCGGGGGGUCGGCGUUGGGGAUCGGCCCUGCCUCUUGGCGGUGGCCGUCUCCGAAAUACAGUGGCGGUCUCGCCGCAGCCUCUCCUGCGCAGUAGUUUGCACACUCGCAUCGGGAGCGCGGCGCGUCCACAGCCGUUAAACACCCAACUUCUGAAAUGUUGACCUCGGAUCAGGUAGGAAUACCCGCUGAACUUAAAGCAUAUCAAUAAGCGGAGGA
rnacentral:rRNA from 1 species